AUGCUUCUCCCGGAAGCUCUGGUUAAGCCUCCGUCCGUGUCCUGUCUGUGGAGCGACGCCCCUCUGGCCACACCCACAGCCGCCUCGCGCACGAGCAGGACGAACCUAGCACCAGAAUCAGCAGGAAAAGCCGGCUCCUCCCGGGUGGGGUUCACCGGGCAACGCCUGGCCCCUUGGACUGACUGGCUUUGCAGAGAUGGGGGCUGGGCAGGACACAAAGUCCCCCAGGGACGUGGCCGAGGCUGGGGUGUGGCGGGGCCGAGGUCCGCCCUGCCCCCUGCCCCUGCCGGGCCUGGAGCCCCCGCUGUGAGGACGUCUUACCGCGCGGCCUCCCCCGUUGGCUCCGGACCCCAGCAGGGGCCCGCACAGAGCAGCACACACGGGCACCAAAGCCACCACUCCUUUAAGUCGCCGGGUUUGCUACAGUACCUGAGCCGGCCCUGCAGGGGCGGCGGGCUGCAGGGGCAGAAAAAUCUUUACAUAAAUACGGGCCAGGUGGACGGGGCCACAGACGUCCAGGGCCUAGCACCAGAGGAACCCGCUCUCAGUCCCAGCCAGGGCCGUGCAGCCCGAGGCCCAGCGGGGCUCCAGAGCCGGGCCGGGCAGGGCCUCUCCUCCCGGCCACACGAGCGGCUGCACAGCUGUCCACGGUCUGCCCACGCCCUGCGCAGACAGGGGCACGCGGGGUCCCUCCUCAGUUGUCACCAAAGGCUGGGGCCCUGCGGGGUGGGGCCGCCUCUGGGUUGGUGCUUUGAGGUUCCACCGCUGGGCCUGGGCGUGGCUCUGCUGGAGGCUGGCGGUGUGGCCUCUGGGGAGGAGGAGGAAGGCGGUCAGCCCCGGGGAAGCUGGGAGCCCCCCAAACGCCACCCCCACCUCUCUCAGCCCACCGCUCAGCCCACUCAGGGGGCAGCAACCGGCCCCCGCCCAGCUCACUCCCAGCCCUUCCCUGAAAUCCACACCCUGGAUGGGCCAGAGCCACCUGUGCGUCCUCCAGGCUUGGCCACAAGGCCACCCUCCUGGCCAGUCUGGGGGACAGACCCCCCCACCCCUCACCUAGGCCCCGGCUGCGGCCUGGGGCGCAGUACCACAUGUGGCCACUAG
rnacentral:lncRNA from 1 species